rnacentral:rRNA from 1 species
GACGAACGCUGGCGGCGUGCCUAAUACAUGCAAGUUGAGCGCUGAAGGUUGGUACUUGUACCAACUGGAUGAGCAGCGAACGGGUGAGUAACGCGUGGGGAAUCUGCCUUUGAGCGGGGGACAACAUUUGGAAACGAAUGCUAAUACCGCAUAAAAACUUUAAACACAAGUUUUAAGUUUGAAAGAUGCAAUUGCAUCACUCAAAGAUGAUCCCGCGUUGUAUUAGCUAGUUGGUGAGGUAAAGGCUCACCAAGGCGAUGAUACAUAGCCGACCUGAGAGGGUGAUCGGCCACAUUGGGACUGAGACACGGCCCAAACUCCUACGGGAGGCAGCAGUAGGGAAUCUUCGGCAAUGGACGAAAGGCUGACCGAGCAACGCCGCGUGAGUGAAGAAGGUUUUCGGAUCGGAAAACUCUGUUGGUAGAGAAGAACGUUGGUGAGAGUGGAAAGCUCAUCAAGUGACGGUAACUACCCAGAAAGGGACGGCUAACUACGUG